GAGGGUAUAGCUCAGUGGUAGAGUGUGUGCUGAGUGUGCACAAGGUCCUAGGUUCAAUCCCCAGCACCUCCA
rnacentral:tRNA from 1 species